AUUGAACGCUGGCGGCAGGCCUAACACAUGCAAGUCGAGCGAGCGGCGGACGGGUGAGUAAUGUCUGGGAAACUGCCUGAUGGAGGGGGAUAACUACUGGAAACGGUAGCUAAUACCGCAUACCAUCAGAUGUGCGCAGAUGGGAUUAGCUAGUAGGUGGGGUAACGGCUCACCUAGGCGACGAUCCCUAGCUGGACUGAGAGGAUGACCAGCCACAUUGGAACUGAGACACGGUCCAGACUCCUACGGGAGGCAGCAGUGGGGAAUUUGGGACAAUGGGGGAAACCCUGAUCCAGCCAUCCCGCGUGUGUGAUGAAGGCCUUCGGGUUGUAAAGCUCUUUUGGCAGGAAAGCGGUACCUGCAGAAUAAGCAACGGCUAACUACGUGCCAGCAGCCGCGGUAAUUC
rnacentral:rRNA from 1 species